rnacentral:tRNA from 1 species
GGGCGUCGCUCAGGUGGUUAGAGCGCACCCCUGAUAAGGGUGAGGUCGGUGGUUCAAGUCCACUCAGGCCUACCA